AUAGCUCAGUUGAGAUCAUUAUUAUUGAAGCAAACACACAUUCUGUGAAGGAUGGUGUGUGUGUGUGUGGGAGGUGUGAUGGUGGUGUCAUGGUUGAGGGGGGGUUAAAUGGAUUGUAAAUUAGCUCUGCAGCACAAGGAAAGCUGAGAAAGAACGGCUGUGGAGCAGAGAAUCUCCUUCACCCUCAGUUGCUAAACUGAUUGCACAGCAAGACAGAAAGGCUGCCAUCUACAGACAUCCCAGUCAGAAACAGAAGUCCUGAACAUCCCCGCAGUAAGAAAACACAAAAGCAAUCCUCUCACCUAGCUGGAGGAGUCUGGAUCUCCAACCAGAGACAGGAAGAACCUACUUUGUGGAGCAGCUCGUGACAUCAGCAGAACUUCAGACAGUGAGAGAAAGUACUUGUACACAUGUCAGUACACAUUUAGUCAGAAGAGGAUUCAUGCAAAGAGCUGCUUAUCAGAACUGGAACACAAAAGAAAGGUGCAGCUUGACCCGGGAUCAGAAUACUCUAUCACUAAUCUGAACUACCUAUUGAAGAUACCGUUUCAGAGCGAUGGAGGGAAACCCUUGCUGCACUCUGGCUGUUCUGAUCAUCCUUGUAAUCUCUCCUGUCAAGUCGUGGUGUAGAGGCGAGACCUUCAAAUCACAGCGAGAGGGAAGUGAAACCGCAGUACAGAAGAGGAUUCAGACCAUAGAUACUGACAGCUUUUUUGGUCUUAUGGGAAGAAGAGACGUUUCUCCAGUCAGAAGAGAGUGCUGCCUGUCUGUGCACGUGAUUCUGCAGAAGAAUGGAUGCAGGUUAAUCAUUUGUGAAAAGCAGAGGACCCCACCCUCGUCCUAAGGGAGGUGACAAACAUCCUUGUGUGAAAAACAGACUGUAAAUGAUCUCGCCUUUCAAAGAAAUACCAACUGUGACAGAGCUUAUCAGGAGAGAUCACAGGUUCAGCAGCCAGAGAGCUGAGCCACUCCUGAUCAUCUUUCCAUGACUACUGGAUAAAGUUCUUAGAUAAAAUAGUGUUUGCCAACAAACAAAUGUGAA